rnacentral:pre_miRNA from 1 species
GUCUACUACCUCCGUCACAAAAUAAGUGCAGUUUUACAAUAUUUAUAUCUAACGUUUGACCGUUCAUCUUAUUUAAAAUGUUUUUAUGAUUAGUACUUUUAUUGUUAUUAGAUGAUAAAACAUGAAUAGUACUUUGUGUGACUAAUUUUUUCAUAAAUUUUUCAAAUAAAACGGACGGUCAAACGUUGGAUACGGAUUCCCAUGGCUGCACUUAUUUUGGGACGGAAGUA